rnacentral:rRNA from 1 species
UACGUAGGGGGCAAGCGUUGUCCGGAUUUAUUGGGCGUAAAGAGCGUGUAGGCGGCCAUACAGGUCCGUUGUGAAAACUGGAGGCUUAACCUCCAGACGUCGAUGGAAACCGUGUGGCUAGAGUCCGGAAGAGGAGAGUGGAAUUCCUGGUGUAGCGGUGAAAUGCGCAGAUAUCAGGAGGAACACCGGUGGCGAAGGCGGCAUUCUGGACCGAUAUUGACGCUGAGGAGCGAAAGCCAGGGGAGCAAACGGG